CUGAGAGAGGGGCGCAUGUCAAAAGGAUGCGCCCCUAAGUUACGCCCCCUCUAACGUCAAUUCCUGAAUCCGCCCAUGUACUCAUAUAAAAUUCCAAAAGUAUUGUUAAAUUUCUCUUUAAAAUAUUCAACCCUCGGCAAUGUGUGAUUACAAACUAUUUCAGGUCUUCAAUGAUCUUGGUGCACAGGUUCUCCACAAUGCGUUCGGCGGGUUUAACGCCUGCGUGUUCGCGUACGGGCAGACAGGCUCUGGCAAGACACACACAAUGAUGGGAUAUCCGGCGUCUUCCCAGAGUAGCUUAAACGAAGCAGGAACAGGAACAUCUGUGUGAUAUGGUUACCAUGACAACAAUUAGCUAGUGACCACCUGUUAAAACGAGGACAAUUUUUUUUCUGAAUCUAAAGACGUUUGUAAACUCUGGAAUGUUAUGAUCCCAAUUUGUGAAUGAGCUAGAAAAUUCUGCUGUUUAAAUGCACCUGAAUGAGUUGUGUGUAGGUAACUGGUUUAUGGAAAUUGCACAGGCCCUUUACAUUGUUACAGAUUUUGUUAAUUGUGUUACAGAUUCUGUGUGACACUGUUACAAAUUUUAUUAGUGUUCUAUUCUAAUUGUGAAACAGAUUCUGUGUGACAUUGUUACAGAUUUUAUAAGUGGUCCAUGUCAUGUUAACCAAUAAAUGCAUGUAGAAAUGCCAUAUUUAUGUCCACUAUGCAAAGGAAAAAAUUCUUUUAUCAUAGAAAAUAGCGUCAAAUAAAUCAUUUUGAUGUUUAAAAUACAUAUAUUCAACCACAUUAAAUAGAAAACACUGGACUUCUGAUUUUUGAAUACUAAUUAAUCAGUGAUAUAAUUAUGGUUUGAAAUUGUCUAGAAAUUAAUCGAUGAAACAACUGUAAGGGCUAUGAAACAUUUAGUUUUAUUUACUUAAUUGGUAAUUUUCAACCUGUAUUGGGACCAAAAAAUUCGGGUAUGGCAAUUUUAGUUCAGAUUUGUUUCUAUUGCAAGGAACAUAACAAUUUUAUGUAUAUUUUGUUACAUUUAUUCUUUUGUUAGAGGAUACAAUAAUGCCUGUUACUUAGUUGGCUCAUUUUUACGCAUCAUUUUGUUUUGUUCUGUCUUGUGUACAAAAUCGUGCAGUUACGCCAUUAACCUGGAAACAUGAAUUUUGAUAUAUAUAUGUUAUUGAUUAUUGUCACAAACUGUUGCGAUAUAAGUUUCUGUUUAUGAUUUAUGACUUAUUACAUGUACUGAUUUAGUUAUAUGUUGCUCAGGCAUGUUGUUGUUUGGCAUUAAAUUUAAGGACUUCAACAUGUGUUGCAAAUGAAUUUAGAAAAUCUUUAUUUUAAUUUGGUAUUUAAGGGACUAGACAGCUGAUGGUCCCAAUAUAAUACAUAAUUUCACGCGAUUCAAAGGCUAUUUUGUCACUGUCUAACCUGUUUAAAAUUAGCAUAUAAUGGUUUCCCAGUUUAAAGUGUGUAUAUUUUGCAUGCGAUAAAAACAGUUGCAUAUAUUGACGCUAUUUUAAAAUUUGCUCGGAUUUACGUGGUAGACGAAGCCAGUAAAUUUCAAAUCGGAAAAAAUAUGCAAAAAUGUGUUACAUCAGUAAGUUUUAAUACAUUGAAUCAAUUUAUUUAAGUUUUCAUCAAUUUUCUAUUUCUUGCAAUGGUAUCAUCUGGUGUCUAGUCCCUUUAAGUGGUAAGUUUCAUAAGCAAUAUCCAUUGAGUACGGAAUUGUACUGCAGAUAGUAUGGGGUUAAUCGUCAUAGAAUAUUCUAAUCACUGCCUGUGUGCUAUAGAUCAUGUUACUGUGAAAUCAUUAAUGUUCGUGGGGCAUUAAUGUUCGUGGUUUUCGUGGGUUGGGUGAUCCACGAAUUCAAGAUCCAACGAAAUAUAAACCCUUUAUUCACUUUUUCAAUUGCCUUGUUAUGUACAUACUCUAGUAUAUUAUUUACAGAGGUCGCAGUAUACAGUGUUAAAACCUGUCUCACUGUAUAACUUACGAUCAUUAUUCUGUUAAUAUAUUAUAACUGCCUUUAAUAAUAAUAAUGAACCAAAUCAAUUAAAUGUGUUUUAUGCAGCAAAUGACAGUUAUAAGCACGUGUUUAAACGUGUGCUGUUAAUGAAAAUCUCCAAGUUUACAAGAUGUGCGUGAUGAGUGUCUGUACUCGAUUUUUUUAUUUAAUGAAAUAAUUAAUCGAUUACUAGUACAUUGAAGGUUACUAAGCACCGAACGUGACAAUAUACGCACCUUUUCGGUGUUUUCACAGUUUGCAAAAUUCUGUAUUGGCAUUCAAUGGCUUCCCCUUUCUGUAUUUAUGAUCAGGGUACAUCUUCUUUUAUUACCUUUAUUCCCAAUUAAAUCAAUAAGUGACAUGGGUAUAUGCACUAAUUGGCAUGUCGUACCACAUUAGCGAGUGUCAUAAACCGAGUGACGUAGAAGACGGAAAUCACGGGCCAGCGCGUGGAUAUUAUGCAGACGAUCUAGCACAAUCGCAUCUUCGAUUUUUUUUUCAAAUAUGAAAAUCCACGAAUUCAAGUACCCACGAAAUUGUUUUUUUUCGGCAAACCACGAAAUUUCAUGCCCACGAACAUUAAUGAUUUCACCGUAUGUUUCUCGACAAUUGCUCCCCAGUCCAUUUCAGAAAGAUCAUGAAAUUCAUUUUUUUUUUAAAUGAAAUCAUACUUGACCUGAAUAAUUUUCUGUGCAUUAUCUGUCCUAACAUAUCAUCAUCCAUUGAAAAUUUGAUAUGAAAGUGCAUGAUGAAAGCCAUAUUCACUGUACCGAUUUUCUGUUGAUAAAAAUUGACGCUUUUGAACAUCAAUGUAAAAAUAAUCGUGUAGGUAUUUGAAUUUUUUUGCUUAUAAGAUGAUGAAUACGCUUCAAACAAUAUGGUAAUUAAAAAUAUUUUGGAUUGGUGUUAUGUAGUUUAACUUUUUAUUUAUUAUAGAUUAAAAAUAUUUAUGUAGAAAUGUUAUAGACGAAUAAAAAUAUAAGUUAAUAGUGACACAUGCUAAUUUUAAUUUAUACAGGGUGUUUUUCAUACACAUCAUCAAAUAACGCAAGGUUAAAGGCCUGAAAUAAAAUAUUAAUUUUCUUUUCCCACGACCAAACUGCAAAAUGAGCUUGACCGAAAUGAUUUUAAUCCUUAUAUUUAAAAAUGAGAUUAUUUAUUUUGAUUUUGUAUUCUUGACCAAGCUUGUUUAAAUUAAAAUAUUUGUCGACUCUCACCAACACAGUAUAUCUAUCUAGGUCGUGGAAGCGAAAUCAAAGAACAUAUUGCAUCUUGCCUUACAGAUUCUUUUCAAAUUUGUACAUAUCUCAGAUUUGUCAUAAUCUUUAUGUGCCACUGAAAAUCUGUGAUAAAUUUAAAUCUCGUCGAAUUUCUGUGGUAUAUCUGUCAUAUAAUGUGAAUUGUACACUUAAACCUCAUAUUUUCAAAUUAUAAAGACCACAAUUGUAGUCUUCAGUGUCAAAUUCAAUGUGUUUGUCUUCAAACUAAUGAUUUAUUAUUGGCUAAGGACUAUCAUCCUCUUUAUUGUGAUGACUUUUGCAAGUAUUCUUUCCUCUUUGGUUAUGAAGUUGUACACAGGGAUGAUGAUCGGAAACAUGAAAAUAAUCUGAAAUUCUAUCCCAAAGCAGGGUGAAAUUCUAUCCCAAAGCAGGGUGAAAUUCUAUCCCGAAGCAGGGUGAAAUUCUAUCCCAAAGCAGGGUGAAAUUCUAUCCCAAAGCAGGGUGAAAUUCUAUCCCGAAGCAGGGUGAAAUUCUAUCCCGAAGCAGGGUGAAAUUCUGUCCCGAAGCAGGGUGAAGGGGCUAAGAUCCUUGAUGAAAUAUUGUUUCCAAGACCCUUAACAUUCAUUUCUACGUACUGCUUAAAAUUUUGAUGCAAACAUACAGCAUAUUAACCAACUUUAUGACUCAAUGCUAGCAUUUAAACAGAUUUAGGUGGUAGAAAUAAACACAUGCCUGCAAGCCCUGGACUGUUAAAUAGUAGGGCUAGUUCAAAAAUUUGAUGCCAAGCAUUAGUAUAAGAUUUCGGGCUAGUUCAUCCAAAAGUCUAAUUUCGAUGACUGAGAUUUCAGGAUUGAUUUUGGAUUGUAUCAUUCCUGUGUACAUGACCACUCUUAAAUAAAGUUGCAUAAACAAUUUUUUUGUCUACUGUCUCUUACUAUUGUACAUCAUGUCGUUGAAAUUGCCUUGCUUGCUAAUGGUUACCUAAAAAAUGUUGUAUCCUGCUUAAUUUUACAACCAAAUGAUCCUAUAGAUAAAUGCAUCAACCUGAAUUAUGACUUCCUAAUUGUGUGGCUGCAGUCAACAUUUAUGUUUUUGUGGCAGUCAACAAGUUCAGACGCACAAUAUGUAUUUUUUUCUAUUUUCUCGAUGUAAGCUGCACAGAAAGUGCCUAAACUAUUUUAUUUCAUACAACCAAAGAAAUAACCUAAUUUGUAUCCUAUUGUUAUCACAAAAAGGUUGUUUUCUGGCUCAAAAUUGAUUAAAUAAUUAAUAUAUUCAUAUAUAUAUAUAUAUAUAUGUUGUGUACUUGCUAUAGAAAAAAUGUAUACAAGAUUAAGUUGUUAAGUUGCGAAACACAAUGUGAACAUUUACUUGUAGCUCUAUGUACAUAAAAAAUGCAGUCACGUUUUAAGUCACUUUGCAAAUUAAUAUUUAAACUUCGCUCAAAGUCAUUUGCAGAAAAAAGAAUUGAAUCAACUUGAAGGCUUACUGAUAAUUGCAUAACCCAUUCUGUUGACCAAACAAAUAAUUUUCCAUGAAAUAGUUCUUUCUGCAAGUACAUAAUAUUUGUAAAUGGCAUGUACUAAUCACAGGGUCUCCAAAAAUUAGAGCAAUUUAUGCAAAAGUAUAAAUAAGAUAAUUCUGGUAAAAAUCAUGCUCCCUCAGUAGCACUGUGUUGAUUGAUCAAAAUUCACUGGUCUAAUGUCAGAAUCGCCUGGAAUUCUGGGGAAAAACAUGUUAAAAUGCCCUGGAAUUCUGGUAAAAAAAUGUCAAAAUCCCCUGAAAUUUUGGGAAAGAGAAUGUCAAAAUGCCCUGGAAUUCUGGUAAAAAAAUGUCAAAAUGCCCUGGAAUUCUUGGAAAGAAAUGUCCAAAUCCCCUGGAAUUCUGGGAAAGAAAUGUCCAAAUCCCCUGGAAUUCUGGGAAAGAAAUGUCCAAAUCCCCUGGAAUUCUGGGAAAGAAAGGUCAAAAUCCCCUGGAAUUCUGGGGAAAAAAAGGUCAAAAUCCCCCUUUUUUCUGGGGAAAAAUGACAAAAUUCCCUGGAAUUCUGGGGGAAGUCAAAAUCCCCCUUUUUUUCUGGGAAAAAAUAUGUCAAAAUCCCCUGGGAUAGUCUUCAGGAAUUUGGCAUUUAAGCAUUGUGCACUAAAAGUAGUCUACAAGUACUCGUACAAGAAGUGUUUCGCAACCUCGAUUAUAAAUAACUUAAUCUCUAGAACAUUUAAUUGCUUCUUCGAUUUCAAUUCAGUACAUUUCAGCUAAGUGUUUUUAGGUUAACCAAGUUAGACAACUGUGCAAUAUUAACACUACAAAAGUAGGGUAUAAAUGUGUUACACUAUUUUUAUUUACACUUGUUGUUUUUCUUUAUAUUACAAGGUAUUGAAAAUACUUAAUUAAUUUAUAUCUUUACAACUAUAAAUGAUUAACAAUGCUGUGAAAUUCUUUUGAAUUAUAUUACUUUAAGUUGUUUCUGGUAUUUCUCAUUUAGUCAUACAUAAAUUACAUGUAUUUAUAUUAGAUGCUGUUGUAAGUGGACUAUAUUAUGUCUAGCGGACUCAAAAUGAAGUUUAUUUUAUCUUCAGUUUACGCAGACAGCAACUGUAGAAUGUAGAAUUUAGUUUAUAUCAUUAGUGCUUGUUUAAAAUUUAUUUAAUGGUCAACUAGUGUAUCUUGUAGCCCCCACUAAGGGGGGAAAAAGCUUAGAAUAAAGACUUAUUAUAUGAAGGAUUCGGGUGAAAUUACAAAUAGUUCUUUAUGAUUACACGUCUGUAACGCAUGCAUUAUUGUGUUUAAUUUUCCCUUAAGUGUCUAUAUAAUAUUGUUUCUGAUCAAAUAAGACUGGAAAACAAAACCACGUCUGUCCUAAUUUCCAUCAUCUUUAGAGCCUUAAGUACUUUAUUAAAAUCCCAUUUUAAUGCAGUGUAAACGUGUGCAACUGAAUACACUGUACAUAAAUGCAACUGUUACUAUGUCAUUAAUAUCUACUAUUAUAUGAUACCAAAAAAAUCAUGUUUAAUUAUAAAACUUUUUUUUGUGCUAUUGGGGUAGUCCACGUGUAGAUAAUGGAUCAGGGUCAGGCAUAAUAAGUAUGUUGUUUAAACGAACACGUAUUUAUACUGAGUUUCAGAAGACAUGCUCUCGGUUAGAAGUGAAGCCAGUCAUAUUCACUACAGGUUUCUUAAACAACAGGCCCCAAUUUCUCGAAACUUCUUAAGCUUAACAGCUAGGCUUAAGUAGCUUAUUUGAAUUAGAUAAAAUACAUACUGAAAUUGAAUUUUGAUACAUGAAAAAUGGUAAAUUGCGAUCAUCAUAAUCAUAAUUCCUAUUCAAGGUAUAAAAACUCUUAAAGAAGUAAAUAUUAUGCAAAUUAUUGAAAAACAAAAAUAGUGAGCUUAGCUUAACCCUGUUAUAAGGGACUUAAUGAGUUUCGAGAAAUUGGAGCCAGGACUGUCCAUCUAUAUUUAUAUGGGUUUCUUAAAUCCAGGAUUAAUUCUGAAAAUUGAGAGCUUUUGACUUCGUACAAUUCAGUUGUAAAUACUAUUUUUAGCUCAGAAAUGUACAUCAAAAGCAGUAGGAAAUAUCUUUAAAUAAAUAUAAACAAUUUCAAAGGGGUCUAAGCCUCUUGACCCUGCUAUAGGCAUUAAUCUCUCAUACCAAAACAGACUCCCUUUUUUCAAGAUUGACAUUUAACAGCUGUUAGAAACCACUGACAUAAGCUUGCUGCAUGUACAUAAGGAAUAUUAUCAAUAAAUGAAAAUGAAUUGUAUUCAUAACAUAUAAAUAAACUUUGAAGCUGCUCAUGACUGUACAGGUUAGCUUUAUUUCGAGUGAUAAAGUGAAAAGUGAAUAUUUCAGUAUGUCAAACAAUUAUGAAUGGACUUGUAUGUAAAGAAUUUAGGAACAGUGAAUUGAUAUCAUUAUCACAGAGUUGUGUUUGUUACAUUGAAUUUCCUUAUAUAGAUUAUGAUUUAUGAAUAUAUACUAAACAUAGAUAUUACUUAUGUUGCUGCUUCAUGUUCUAUGCCAUACUGGUGUUAAACUUAUUGUUUGCUAAGGAUAAGAUUGUCGUUCAUUUGAACAGUGUUUUUUUGUCAUCUGUAACUAUAUGCAUCAUGCCGCUUUCUUCAUGGAUAAAUAAAUCUUCAAUCGCU